AUUGAACGCUGGCGGCAGGCCUAACACAUGCAAGUCGAACGAGUGGCGGACGGGUGAGUAAUGUCUGGGAAACUGCCUGAUGGAGGGGGCUAACUACUUGAAACGGUAGCUAAUACCGCAUACCAUCGGAUGUGCCCAGGUGGGCUUAGCUAGUUGGUGGGGUAAAGGCUCACCUAGGCGACGAUCCCUAGCUGGUUUGAGAGGAUGACCGGCCACACUGGAACUGAGACACGGUCCAGACUCCUACGGGAGGCAGCAGUGGGGAAUAUUGCACAAUGGGCGCAAGCCUGAUGCAGCCAUGCCGCGUGUAUGAAGAAGGCCUUCGGGUUGUAAAGUACUUUCAGCGGGGAGGCGUUACCCGCAGAAGAAGCACCGGCUAACUCCGUGCCAGCAGCCGCGGUAAUAC
rnacentral:rRNA from 1 species